GAUUAUGGCUCAGGAUGAACGCUAGCGAUAGGCCUAACACAUGCAAGUCGAGGGGCAGCACAUGAGUAGCAAUACGAUGGUGGCGACCGGCGCACGGGUGAGUAACACGUAUGCAACCUACCUUUAACAGGGGAAUAACCCGUUGAAAAACGGACUAAUACUCCAUAACACAGGGGUCCCGCAUGGGAAUAUUUGUUAAAGAUUAAUCGGUUGAAGAUGGGCAUGCGUUCCAUUAGCUUGUUGGUGAGGUAACGGCUCACCAAGGCCACGAUGGAUAGGGGAACUGAGAGGUUUAUCCCCACACUGGAACUGAGACACGGUCCAGACUCCUACGGGAGGCAGCAGUGAGGAAUAUUGGUCAAUGGAGGCAACUCUGAACCAGCCAAGUCGCGUGAAGGAAUGAAGGUCUUAUGGAUUGUAAACUUCUUUUGCAAGGGAAUAAAGUGGGGGACGUGUCCUCCUUUGCAUGUACCUUGCGAAUAAGGAUCGGCUAACUCCGUGCCAGCAGCAGC
rnacentral:rRNA from 1 species